AAGUCGUAACAAGGUAACCGUAGGUGAACCUGCGGUUGGAUCAUUAAUGAAUUAAAAAAAAAGGGAGAAAUUUCUGUCAAGGAAAGUUCUCUUUUUUUAAGAAAGAGUAUUAGGCUUUUGGCCUUUUACUUGAACCCAUUUGUGAAUUGUUUAUUGUCCAUUGGUCAAAAAGACAACAUGGUGUUUGGACUUUUUUUCUUUUAAUAGAAAAAACCCAAAGACUCAUUUCAUUUUUUUGACCAGUCAAGUAGAAACUUAGUCUUUAUGGAGUUAUCAUUUAAAUAAAAAAAAUGAAACAACUUUUGACAACGGAUCUCUUGGCUCUC
rnacentral:misc_RNA from 1 species